AACCAGCGAAUUCCAUGGUUCCACCACCACAGUACCAGCAGACACAGCAGUGGAUGGCUCAGCCGCCGCCGCAGUAUCAGGUUGCGCCUCCGCAGCAAUCGGGAUAUUACUACCAGCAACCUCAGCAACAGGGCGGAGUUCCUCCACCCCAACAACAACAACUUCAGUACAACGCCUCUGGUUUGGCUGCUACUGCCGGUUCUGUUCAGCCGACUAGUGCUGAUGAGAUCCGAAGCCUUUGGAUCGGAGAUCUACAGUUUUGG
rnacentral:misc_RNA from 1 species